rnacentral:misc_RNA from 1 species
AACCUAGCACACCUGCGGUGUGUACCUGCGGAGGGAUCAUUAUCGUUGGGCUCCUGCCCAUUCGAGAUAACACCCUUGCCUUUUUGAGUACCUUUUCGUUUCCUCGGCAGGCACGCCUGCCAACGGGGACCCUUCAAAACGCUUUGUAAUACCUGUCAUUGUCUGAUAUAACAAGCAAAAAUCAAAACUUUUAGCAACGGAUCU